rnacentral:lncRNA from 1 species
UGUUUGUUUGUUGGAAAAUGAAUUCCCAUAUGAAAACAUUUUACAAACACGGGUAAAAUCCGAAGCUUUUUUUUAGAAAUUGUCUUACCCAUUUCUCUACCGUAAGACAUUUUCCCUUUCUCCUUUCUCUUCUUCAACCUUCUUCAACCUUCUUCUGUUAUCUCUAUCUGCUAAGGUCGGCAUAUCGCAAAAGAUUCGGCCCUCUGCUAAGAGUGGUUCCAGUUGAUUUACCUCCCCAUUUUUGAGUUUUCUUCUAUCCACUCUUUUCUUUUUUCUCAAUUUUCCUAUGGUUGAAUGGAAGUCUGGAAGGGAAGGAGUGGGAAUUGAAAUUUUUUAAUUUAAUCAUUAAAUUACAAAUAAUUGACUUCUAAUGAAUUUUUAAUAUGAGGUUAAGUCCAUUUUGGUUUAAUACAUAAUAUUAAAAAAAAAUUUCUUGUUUUCUCUUUUGAACUUCAUUUUUAAAGUUCCAAAAGAAGUUUCGUUUUGAAGAAGGUUAUAUGUUAGACUAAGCUGGGUUUUAUUUAUUUAUUUAUUUAUUACUGAGUUUUCGUUCUUUUUUCUUCUGUUAAUUACGCGUUUAACUUUUUUUUAAAAUUAAUUUCAGUUUUUAUUUUAAUUGUUUAGUUACUUGAGUUAAAAAAAUCGUUUUCAGGCGUUUGAUUUUGUCGAUGGAGGAUGGUGGUUGUGCGAGUCUCUCGGAGCUGAGAUUCAUGGAUUUCAUACAUUGCAAGGUAUAUUAUACAGAAUUUGUUUUUAUUAGUUUUAAUAUUUUUUUUCUGAUUCUAUGAAUUGAUCUUAUAACGUGUGUUAGAAUUUAAUGUGCUGAAAAUUGUUUGAUCGCUGUAAAUGGUCCAUAGUAUUUACUUGUUAGCUUUUUCGUGAGUAAUUUCUUACUCUUUUUGUGGGAGUUUUUGCUCUUUGAAAGCUAGAGAAGUGGUUGAUUUUGUUUCAAGCAAAUAUCAAAUUCACAUAAACAUUUGCUUGUGAAGUGUUAGUUGAGCUUCAGGGACUGUUAAAUUUUGUUCAUAUCGUGCUUUGGAGUGCAAUUAUGCAAAUCUCUUUGUUUUGCUAAUUUUUUUAUUUUAUUUUUUAAAUUUGUUUCUGUUGGAUAUGGAUAGAUUUGGAUGUUAAAAACAUGUUGGAAGAAGCCAAGUCAAGAUGGUUACGCCCAAAUGAGAUUCAUGCUAUACUGUGCAACCAUAGAUAUUUCUCCAUUUAAGCGAAGCCAGUGAACAUGCCGAAAAGUAACUAUAGAUAAAAAUUAAAUUCUGUUUGUUCCCCUCAUCUAUACGCCCCCACAUGAGUGAACACAGAAGAAGUUUACUACUUACUAAUGAAUAUAACUCCCUUAUCAUUAUAGGUGGUACUAUUGUAUUGUUUGAUCGAAAGAUGCCGAGGAACUUUUGAAAAG